UUUCAAAUUCUUUUUCAAGUUUCAAAACUUCAUUAUUAACAAAUAAAUGACAUUUUGCAUAACAAAGAAAAGCGUAGAUGAACACAAACUAACAAUGAUUGGGAAAACUUGUAUUUUAUUCAAGAAUGGUAGCACACAAAUGGCGUAGCUCCAUAGAGUGUUACAAUUUUUGGAAAAUGGCAAUAAGGAAAGGUUUACGUUGAAUUCAGUGACCACUAACAUCCCUACUAGAUAUGAUUUCCCAAAACCUUGCUUCUAAGGGGAGUAACUGGAUUGAUCUUCUGCCUCAAAUUCUUCGGUGUUAAUCAGUAACAANNNNNNNNNNNNNNNNNNNNNNNNNNNNNNNNNNNNNNNNNNNNNNNNNNNNNNNNNNNNNNNNNNNNNNNNNNNNNNNNNNNNNNNNNNNNNNNNNNNNNNNNNNNNNNNNNNNNNNNNNNNNNNNNNNNNNNNNNNNNNNNNNNNNNNNNNNNNNNNNNNNNNNNNNNNNNNNNNNNNNNNNNNNNNNNNNNNNNNNNNNNNNNNNNNNNNNNNNNNNNNNNNNNNNNNNNNNNNNNNNNNNNNNNNNNNNNNNNNNNNNNNNNNNNNNNNNNNNNNNNNNNNNNNNNNNNNNNNNNNNNNNNNNNNNNNNNNNNNNNNNNNNNNNNNNNNNNNNNNNNNNNNNNNNNNNNNNNNNNNNNNNNNNNNNNNNNNNNNNNNNNNNNNNNNNNNNNNNNNNNNNNNNNNNNNNNNNNNNNNNNNNNNNNNNNNNNNNNNNNNNNNNNNNNNNNNNNNNNNNNNNNNNNNNNNNNNNNNNNNNNNNNNNNNNNNNNNNNNNNNNNNNNNNNNNNNNNNNNNNNNNNNNNNNNNNNNNNNNNNNNNNNNNNNNNNNNNNNNNNNNNNNNNNNNNNNNNNNNNNNNNNNNNNNNNNNNNNNNNNNNNNNNNNNNNNNNNNNNNNNNNNNNNNNNNNNNNNNNNNNNNNNNNNNNNNNNNNNNNNNNNNNNNNNNNNNNNNNNNNNNNNNNNNNNNNNNNNNNNNNNNNNNNNNNNNNNNNNNNNNNNNNNNNNNNNNNNNNNNNNNNNNNNNNNNNNNNNNNNNNNNNNNNNNNNNNNNNNNNNNNNNNNNNNNNNNNNNNNNNNNNNNNNNNNNNNNNNNNNNNNNNNNNNNNNNNNNNNNNNNNNNNNNUUUAUUAGGCAUAGUAUUUUUUAACUGCAUCAGAGUUCACGGGGUGUGAGAGCUCUUCAUCAUCCAUAGUUGUGAGAAUCAAGGCACCUCCGGAGAAAGCUUUCUUCACAACAUAUGGGCCUUCAUAAUUGGGAGUCCACUUCCCACGUGAGUCCUUGUGUAUUGGCAAGAUCUUCUUAAGCACGAGGUCUCCUUCUCUGAAUUCCCGAACACGUACUUUCUUGUCAAAAGCCCUUUUAAGCCGUUUUUGGUAUAAUUGUCCAUGGCACAAAGAAGUCAUUCGCUUCUCAUCUAUGAGGUUCAACUGAUCAAAUCUAUUUUGAAUCCACUCAGCCUCUUCUAGCUUGGUCUCCAUCAAGAUUCUCAUUGAAGGUAUCUCCACUUCAAUUGGGAGAACUGCUUCCAUCCCAUAUACCAAAGAGAACGGGGUUGCCCCUGUUGAAGUGCGGACGGAAGUCCGGUAUCCAUGCAGUGCGAAAGGUAGCAUUUCAUGCCAAUCCUUAUAGGUUUUUACCAUUUUCUGCAGGAUCUUCUUGAUGUUUUUAUUAGCGGCUUCAACAGCGCCAUUCAUCUUUGGACGAUAGGGUGAAGAGUUAUGGUGUUCAAUCUUAAAGCUUUCGCAUAAUUCUUUCAUGGUCUUAUUGUUCAGAUUCGUCCCAUUAUCUGUGAUGAUCCGGCUUGGAAUUCCAUAACGGCAAAUGAUCUCUUUCUUGAGGAAUCGUGCAACCACUUGUUUUGUCACAUUAGUGUAAGAGGCGGCUUCUACCCAUUUGGUAAAGUAAUCAAUGGCAACCAGGAUGAAGCGGUGACCAUUGGAAGCUUAAGGCUCGAUGGCGCCAAUCAUGUCGAUGCCCCACAUUGAGAAAGGCCAAGGUGACGUCAAAACGUUUAGUAGGGUCGAAGGCACAUGUACCUUGUCAGCAUAGAUUUGGCAUUUAUGACACUUUCUAGCAUAAUUGAAGCAAUCGGAUUCCAUGGUCAACCAAUAAUAACCAGCUCUCAAAAUCUUCUUGGCCAUGGCAUGCCCAUUGGCAUGAGUUCCAAAGGAUCCUUCAUGAAUCUCNNNNNNNNNNNNNNNNNNNNNNNNNNNNNNNNNNNNNNNNNNNNNNNNNNNNNNNNNNNNNNNNNNNNNNNNNNNNNNNNNNNNNNNNNNNNNNNNNNNNCCCAAAUCAAAGGGUCACCCAUAGCCAUGAAGAGCAAAAUAGGAUGAUUGUCAUUUCAAUAGAUCUUACACUGCUGAACUCUCGUAAAAGUAAAGUAUGUGUCGAAUUAACUAAACGUAGGAUUAGAGAUCAUCAUGAAGAAGGGGUAGGUUAAAAUAAACUUUGAGCCUUAUAUCCUUUUGUUUCAAUAACCAUGAACCGAGCCACGUUACAACCUUCAAAAGACCUAAUUGAAGUAGGGUUUAUUUUGAAAGCAUACUACAGCAAGGUUGUGUAAACUGACUCCUACAGAUUUGCUAAUAUUCCAUUCUCACUGUAUCACUCACACGCUAGCUAAAAUCAACAUUGUGUUUGGACACAUGGUUCACUCGUCACACAAUACCACGACCCCCCAAAUGAAUGAUUGUUUUUCAAAACUUGCAUAACUAUUGCAUUAAAAUCACCAUUUCUUGAAUAAACAAUUCUUAAUUGCAAGUCAGUACUUGACAUCUAGGAAACACCAACAGAGGGCAAUCCGAGAGGCACUUGAUCGUUGGUGCUGAUGUAAAUCAAGACCAUCUCAUAAUCCCAUGGAUCAGGGGCAGGGCAUCUCUUGAUUAUGUUGGCUUAACAAGUAGUCAGUGUAAGACAAAUCUCCAAGCAUCGGUUGAUCAGGGAGGAAAGACACUUCAAUGCUCAGUCCGUCUGAGGCAAGUCCCUCAAAGGCUAAUCAAGGGGAAGACCAUUGCAAGAGUCAGAUAUUUGAGGAAACAGACUCAGACCAUGUCAUAGGAUAAUCACUCCUAAAGUUUCCUUUCAAGGAGAAUUCCUUUGAAUACCCUUACAGACUAGGGCAAGACAAGUUGCAAGGGGCAAGUUCCCUCUAUAUCUUCAGGUAAGUCAGACAGACUGCCUUAGACGCUAGAAACUGUUUGAAUUCACAACCAAGAUGUCGAAAGUUCAUACCAAUACAACAUCACAUCUUGACAAGAAACCUUACGGCACGUCAAAAGCAUAGUCAUCAUGUGUUGAUCAUGUCGCUAUGGUCAUCUACAGGCUGGCUAGACAUCUCAGAAGAAGAAGUCAAGAUCGCCUUAGGGGCAAAAGACACAAAGUAUCAGUAAGCGAUCAGACUUGGGGCACCAAGGAGUAUCCACUUCUGUUGUGUGUUCAUCACAUCAUCAAUUACCGAGUGUCGAGAAGUCAGAUCCUUCCACCAACCAAAAGUCCAAUCCACAACGACAAUUACCAAAAAACCCAAAGUCCACCUUGCUGGCAUCCACACAAGAACAAAUACAACCAGCAUUGGUUUCCAGAAAAAUACAUCGCCUUUGAAAAGGGGGGCCAAUCCUAAACAAACCAAUCAUUCUUCGCAUUCAAACAUGCAUCACAUGAAUCACCUUAUACAUAACGAAUACAUAUCAUUUAUGCAUGUGGAAUGAAUCAAGAUCCAAGGUUUAGUCGUAGGCAUCCAGGCCAACCCGCAGUUGAGUCAUUGUUUUUCUCUGAGUAAGUUCAUACCCUGCUAUCGGGCGUUCCUCAUUGAGUUACAUCCUUCAACCUUUUGUUGAUAAGAUGUUAUCCUCAGCUAAGUCAAAAUAAUGUUUCUUUGAACUCCUACCUUGUUUAUCGUUGAGCAUCCCUUAAUGAGCUAUUUCCUUAAACCUUUUGUUGAUGGAAAUUACAGCUUUCCGGAGAAUAUUUUUCUGCAGCCUUUUAUUGUUGACAUCCUCAAGCAGUGUUACCCAUUGAUGUUCCAAUACUACCCAACAAGUCUGGUAUAUUUGAACUUUUGUCGGUAGUUUGAUUUUCCAACGGAUUUUUCCUAAUGUCAUCCUUUUGGUGAAAAGUCCCUUGAUGAAUAAUGAUCAUCGUCCUAUUUACGAUAACCAUUAUCCUUUUGGUAAUGGUAAAUCCUUGACGUUUAUGAUCUUACCGUCAUCCUUUUGGUGUCGGCGAUCCUUGAAGUUUUGUCCUAACCUUCAUCCUUUUGGUGAAUGGCGACAUAUGCAAGUAUUACAGCUUACCGUCAUCCUCUUGGUGUUGGCGAUCCUUGUGGUGAUAGGGAUCCUUGUCAUUAUGGUUCAACCAUCAUCUUUUUGUUGAUGGUGAUCUCUGUUAUUAUGUCUAAUCAUCAUCCUUUUGGUGAUGGAGCCCAAGUUCGAUCUAAACAUCAUCCUUUUGGUGAUAGAGAUUAUGGAGUUUCGUUUAAGCUAUCAUCCUUUUGGUGAUCAUGACAUUGGGAAGGUUCAAUCUUACUGUCAUCCUUUUGGUGUCAGUGAUAGUUGAAGUUAUUAUAACUUGGUAUCAUCCUUUUGGUGGUAACAAGUUUCGAAGUUAUGUUCUCACCUUCAUCCUUUUGGUGAGGGUGAUUGUGGACUCAUUAUCACCCUUUUGGUGAUAACAAGUUUUGUCUUGAUCCUACCUUCAUCCUUUUGGUGGCGGCGAUCAUUAAAGUUAUUAACUUAUUAUCAUCCUUUUGGUGAUAACAAGUUUUGUUGUUUGAUAAUACCUUCAUCCUUUUGGUGAUGGUGAUUGUUGACUUAUUAUCAUCCUUUUGGUGGUAACGAGUUUUGUUGUUUAAUAAAACCUUCAUCCUUUUGGUGAUGGUGAUUGUUGCGACUUAUUAUCAUCCUUUUGGUGGUAACAAGUUGCAUUUUUUAUCUUGCCUUCAUCCUUUUGGUGAUGGUGAUCAUUUGAGUUGUGUGACUUUUUAUCAUCCUUUUGAUGGUAAUAAGUUUCGUUGUUGAUCUUACCUUCAUCCUUUUGGUGAUGGUGAUUGUUGAUUUUUUAUCAUCCUUUUGGGUGGUAACAAAUUUGGUUGCUUAAUCGUACCUUCAUCCUUUUGGUGAUGGUAAUCAUUUGAGUUGUGUGCUUAUUAUCAUCCUUUUGGUGGUAACAAGCUUGGUUGUUGGAUGAUACCUUCAUCCUUUUGGUGAUAGUGAUUGUUGUGACUUAUUAUCACCCUUUUGAUGACAACAGGUUUUGUUAUUAAUUUUUCCUUCAUCCUUUUGGUGAUGGUGAUCAUUGACUUAUUAUCAUCCUUUUGGUGGUAACAAGUUUUGAAGUUUUGUUCUUACCUUCAUCCUUUUGGUGAUGGUGAUCAUUAAAGUUAUUAUGACUUAUUAUCAUCCUUUUGGUGACAACAAGUUUUGUUGUUUGAUCUUACCUACAUCCUUUUGGUGACGGCGAUCUUUGAAGUUGAUGAGUUAACUAUCAUCCUUUUGGUGGUAGUCUUGCUAUUAUCCUUUCGGUAAUGGAAAGCUUUAUCAGGAUAACCAUCAUCCUUUUGGUGAUGGACAUCAUCCUUUUGGUGAUGGACAUCAUCCUUUUGGUGAUGGAAAUCUUUGGAUUUUAUCACGUCCAACUAUCCCCUUUUGGUGGUAACAAGUUUUGUUUUGAUAUUACCUUCAUCCUUUUGGUGAUGGUGAUUGUAUUGACUUAUUAUCAUCCUUUUGGUGGUAACAAGCUUUAUUGUUUGAGAAUACCUUCAUCCUUUUGGUGAUGGUGAUUGUAUUGGCUUAUUGUCAUCCUUUUGGUGAUAACUACCCUUGAAGCUUGGUUCAUCCAUCAUCCUUUUGGUGAUGACGAUCCCGAAAAUCAUGGUGAAUUACUAUCAUCCUUUUGGUGAUGGUGAUUAAUUCUACUGUCAUCCUUUUAGCACCAGAAAACUCGUUCAAUUUUUUGUCCUUAUAUCAACAAACGACCUUUCCAAGAUUUAAAUGUCAACUUGAGGGUUGGCAUUAAUCGGAUAUCCUACCCCAAUACCUUGGUGAUGUUCGAAUUCGUUGCAUUUUCUUUCUGCAUUCCUCCAUUGCAUUUCAAAGGACAAAAUCUGGGUCUUUUUGUAAUUAAUUACCUUCCACCAUGAAUGUAUGAAGAUUGUUGUCGUUCUUACCUUUUAGUUCAAGUUAAUUAAAUAGGGGUAGCUGUCAUACCCCAAUUUUGUCCGGGCAUUUUAAAUUUUCGUAAAUUUAAUUUCAUUUUUUGAUUUGCAUCAUAUGCACAACAUGACAUGCAUUUCAUCAUGAAUAAACACCUAAAAUAUCAGUCGGGAUAAAUUAUUGAAAAUACAGACAAAUUGGUUAAAUCAUUUCUCAAGAACGUGCAAAAUUGGCGGGUAAAAAUUUUCAAAAUUAAAAUUGCAGACGCCAGUAUUAUUAACCUACGGUCCACGUAGUUUAAUCUGGUGUGCUCGUUAUAUUUUUCAGCGAAUGUUUCGGCUGCGUUUUGACCCGCCUGAGCUUUUAACCGAUGAAAAUUUAUUUCGAAAUUAAAAGAAACGCUGUAUUUUUUUAAUAAGUAUAUUUUGUGCUGGUCAUUUUAGUGCGCCCGAUUUAAUUUUUCGAGCAAAUUUUCGCUCGGCUUUCAUUCAUUUUUAGUCGUUUUAAUUUUGUUCUUUCAUCAAAAAAUAAAUAGAAUUUCCCAUGUCUUCAUUUUAUUUUUGUCGCAUUUAUUUCCAAAGAUGUGAAGUUCAUUUGAUUUAAUUGGUUUAAAUUGUUUUAAAUAAAUUAAAUCAUCUAGAAGAGACAUGUUUGACAAUUAAAUUAUUUUUAUGCCUCUUUGAUUCGAUCAUGAUCGUCGGUUCAAAAUAAUUAAUGGUCCUUGUUAUCAAUCCACGUGUAGUUUAUUAUUCAAUCAAAACCAUAGAUUAAUUAAUUUGAUGUUAUUAAAGAAAUUUAGAAGAAGAAAAAAACAUUGUUGCUACCAGUCUACAUGUGCCACGCGCCAGCUCACCCUUUGGAUUUGGAAAAGAUUUUCAUUCACGAAAGACAAAAAAUAUGCUCCAACGAUCAGAAGGAAGGCGGAGGGAUACUAUUGGAUUUUCUCUGUGUUGACAGCUAGCCUCCACCAACCUAAUUUCCACCACUAUCCACUUUCCCUCACAUAAAAAAGAAAAAAACGGAAAAGAAAAGGGAGGAGAUACUCAACGCUCACUCUCCUCUCAUAAGCUCUCCAACGUCUCGAAAAAAAAAGAAAUUUAAAAAAAGGGACCUACCCACUUAAUUGACCCAUCACUCACUCUCAGUGAAAAAAAAGAAAAAGAAAACAAAAGAAAGAGAAAACAAAAAGGGAGAGAGAGCGCUCUCUCACGUUUCCUCUUCUUCUCCACACCUCUACCGCACUCCCUCUGUUUUCCGUUCACCACCGCAUCACAAAAACCGGCCAACCUCGCCACUUCCGCUUCCACCGUUAAGCACUCAUUCUCAAUCAUUCUCUUCCACCUUCCGCCAUAAACAAUGACACAACAAUAACAUUCACUGUUCACCGUGUCAAGCCCUAGUGAAUCGUUUUCAACUUGCAAUCAUACCAACACCACGUGACCUUCAUUCAUCACUCUCCUACCGUCGUCACGCUAACGACACCAUCCCACCUUCCACUGCCGACGUGCACCUUCUUCAACCAACAACCUUCUUUCCUCCGCGAUUCACACCGAAAAUCGUCGCACUUCCAUCCUUCAUCACCGCCAACAAUAACCCCCACCGGCGAACACCGUUUCCGCUGUCUCACCUCCAAACUCAGUUCCGUCUCGUUAGAACAACCAACUCCGACGAACCCACUUCGUCGGUGUCGCUCUUCAUCGCCGCUGCGAAACAACAGCGCCUCCCCCCGCCUUAACAAUAACAACCUGUUUCAGUUUCAACACAACAUCAACGAAUCAGUUCCAUUCCAAACCGCGAGGCCAUUUCUCUUUUGGUACCGGUCCAUCGGAGGUAACGGUUCGAAAUGAUUCUUUUUUUCUGUUUUAUCAAGUGUGAAGUGUGUUGCCGUGAUAUUAGAUCCGGAGGGAUUCAAUUACGUCCCGUGUUUGUUAUACUACUUUGUCUUGGCAAGUUAUUUCGGUUAAAUUAUUGUUGGUCCUGCGUUUUGGUAACUAGAGUUUCAGUUUUUGUUGAUUUCGAUUUUGCACCAAUGUGUAUAAUCAUGAGUUGUGGUCGUGGUUUACAUAGGAAUGUUGAGGCGUUUGACUCCAUGUGUUUUUACCAGUAACUGUGUAAUAGAAGGUUAAAGAAAAAAACCAAACUUGAUUUAAUAUGUUAUUAAGAUAGUUGUUGGCACAUUAUCAUUUCUUAAUCAUUUUUUAGAGUUGAGUUUAAAAUUCAGAUUUUUGGGUCAUCUGAAUGGUGAAGAGAUGGGCCCAUUCUUUUACUAGCUUAGUGUAUCCUGGCUUUACUAAUAAUAAAUUUCCAUAUGUUGUAUUAAUUUUUGUAAGGAUGGUUGUGAUUGAUGUUUCUGUUUGCGUUGCUUGAUAGGAUUUAUAAUCAAUGGACUCGACAAUAUAUGUCGUUAUGCCAUCAAAAACCCAAUAUAUCAAUAGAAUGUUUUCACCGUAUUUGGAUCUUGUGAAUGACAAUGGACAUGUUGUUUCGCAUAAACCGAUUCGAGCACACCGACUCAAUUCGAUCAUUUCACAUUUUUAUAUUAUCGCUUAUUUCUCUUUUAAAAAAAUCAAUUAAUUAAAGUUUUGAUUAAAUUAGGAUGAUUUUAAUAAUUAAGUUUAAUUAACUUAAUUAUUUGAUUAUGUUAAUUUUUAAAUCAAAUAAUUUUUAUAAUUAAUUGUAAUUACCUUAGUUAGACGAUUUAAUUAAAUUUUAAUCAAACAACUUUGUUAAAAAAAAAUGGACCGACUUAUCUCAUCAUCAAUUCAUAAUCCUUUUAAACCAAUUCAAUCAUCAGUCCAAACCAAAUUUCUAAAACAAAAUUGCACAAUUCUCGAGUUAACAUCAAGCCCACUUUCAAAACAACUCCUUUGUAAGUCGAUUGCUUUAGCAUCGCCAUCAACCUCACGUGUAAAUAAUUUCACUCGCCAUUCCGCAAAUCCAAACAAUUUUCUAAACAAUUUAACUUUUAAAUAAUUUCCUUUUUUAGCGUAAACUUGGGAUGAAAAGAUAUAGGAAGCGUUCGCCUCACUAUUUCUCAGGCAUUCAAAUGAUUGGCGCACGCCAUAUUACUUGAAUUCUUGUCAUCCGAUUAAAGCUUCAACCAUAAUAUUCAAAUCAUUUCUUCCAAAUUAAUAUAAUUUCUAAAACAUUCUAAAUUCUAAAUUUCCGAUAAUCAAAGUAUGGGAGGCGUUCGCCUCACUAUCUUUCGAUUAUUCGAAUAAUUGGCGUACGCCAUAUUGAUCGAAUUCUCGUCGUCAAAUUAAAACGCAAUCGAAUAAAUUCAAAUCACCUCUUAGAUUAAACACAAUUUCACAAAAUAAACUUUAAACUUAAAUUUCAAUUGAAGAAUGGGAGGCGUUCGCCUCACCAUUCUUUGAUUAUUUGAACGAGUGGCGCACGCCAUAUUGCUUAAGUCAUCGACUUUCGAUCAAAACCUACAAAUUCAAAAUUCAAAUUAUUUUCCCAAAUUAAUAGAAUAUAUGAGAACAUUUCUUUUUUAUAAAUUAAGUACCGAAUGAUAAAGGAUGGGAGGCGUUCGCCUCACCAUCUCUUGAUUUAUUGAUCGAUUGGCGCUCGCCAUAUUGCUCGAUUUUCUUUCGACUUCCGAUUAAAAUACUUUAAAUAAACUUGGAUAAAGGAAUGAAUGGUGCACGCCUUAUUAUUCCUUCAAUAAGCAAGUGGGAGGCGUACGCCUCACUACCAUGCAUAUUCGAUUUCCGCAAACAAACUUUUGAUAAUAAUUCGAAUGAAAAUGGCAAUAGGAGGCGUUCGCCUCACUAUUCCUUGAUUGAAUUGAGCGACUGUUGUGCACCACAUUGCUCAAUCUUUUGUCGUUCCUCAAAAUAUCUUAACACAUCAAACAUAUUUUCUCGCCCCCGUGCGAUCGAAACCAAUCAAACAAAACGUCAAACAUAUCAAUUCAAUUUCCCGCCUCUGUGCGACCAACAAUUCAACUCUUGUCAAAAAAAACACUAUUAAUCCUUUCUAAUACGCACGACAGACCAGUGCUUAAGCCUCCGCCGAGAGUAGACAAGCCAACGUUUAGCCUUUAGAAUGCGACCUACACAGUCGUUCAUUAAAAACAUCAACCAAAUUGUAGUUGCCCGAACUACGAAUGCUCUGAUUUCCUUAUUGCACCAUAAGGAUACGUAGGCAGGAGAUUGUUGUAUCUUCGCGAGCACACUCAUAAAAAACCUCCCUUUUCCCCUUCUGAGGUCUCCAUCCAUAUCUAGUAUCUAUUUUAAAUUACUCAAAGAAAGCGAAUAACAUUCAACUGACAUUCAAAUAGCAAAUUAGACUAAAAGGUUCACGUUGAGUACAACGGACGUGAGGGGUGCUAAUACCUUCCCCUUGCGUAAUCGACUCCCGAACGUGAAUAUGGUUACGACGACCAUUAUUCUAUUUUUCAAAGGUUUUAUGAUAUUUUCCUAUUCCUUAAUGGUAAUAAAUAAAGUUUGGUGGCGACUCUGUUCGACCUAAGUUUUUCCGCGAUCAUCGGGAGGAAUCGUAUUUUUCGAGAUGCGACAGAUGGCGACUCAAUUGGGGACUUUGCUCCAAGCAAGAGAGAGUCUAGCCUAACUUAGUCUAAUUUUGCUAUGACAGUUGGAAGAUAUUCUUUUCUUCCAUGUUUAUUUCUUUGUAUUUUAUUCUGAUUGCUUGUGUUGUAUGUAAUUUUUCUUGAUACUUUAAUAUGGGACUUGAUGUAUGGUGUGAGAUAAGCUUCAUACCCGAGCUUCGAGAAGAACUUAGAACCCGGAGUUGUGUAGUACUGAACCGAGGGGUAUACACCUCAUUGGGGCAAUACGAAGACUCCACCUAGAGUAGAUAUGUUUGGAGUUUCAAUCAUAAUAUGGCUAACCCAUUAUUGUGGGGAGAUUCUAAAUACGAUUCGUGACUCUAGGAACCUCGCCUUAAACCCAAGUUUUGUUUUAAUGAUUGGCGAUUAUGUAGUAUUGAACCGAAGGGUCUACACCCUAUUCGAACAAUAUGAGAAUCCCACUUAGAUUAGAUCAGUUGAAAACUCCCAUCACGAUGUGGCCAGCCCAUUAUUGAGAGGGAGUGUUGAACAUGAUCUGUGAGUCUAAGUUACUUCCUUGAAAACAUAACUUUAGAACCUACCUUUGGGGAUUUCUAGUAAUCAGAGAAACUCGGGCUUCUUCCUUUUAUCCUGACAUACCCGACGUGUGAAUAAUCUUGAGUAUUUGUAUUCCUUUGCGAAAAAUCAUGGCAGAAUUUCAUGCAUUUGCAUAUCAUCAACAUGCAUUGCAUAUCAUUGCCUAGAAACAAAAACUUGCACCAUAUUCUACCCUUUUACCAGUAACCUUGACUACUCGACACCGGUACGAGACAUGCCGCAAUUACAAGAUGACACUCGAACAGCUUGAAGCAAACCAGGUUUCGAUGAGAACAGACAUUGACUCCAUGCAAGCGAAGAUGGAUUGCCUGCUUGAAACUAUGUGGCUCUUAGCCCAGAAGGAGAUAGAUGCUGAGACUAGCGCCGAAGCCAGAAGAGUUGUUGCUCAGUUUGGAUCUCCGUCGCUUAGCAUCCUUGAAGUAACUAACCUUGAUGGUAAUCCUACCCAUCCUAAAGGAGGUCCCAUCCCUAUUCCUAUUCCCAUGGUCAACAUGAACCCCCAUGAACAUUCUGCUACAUCUGCUCGACAUGGAUCCAUGAUGGGUGAUGAAGAUUCGUAUGAUGCUUUCUUCAUGCCACAACUCGCCAAGCCUGUUGUUAGAGGUCUCCUAGACCCUGCUGUUGAGAGACUCCACGCUCUGGAGGAAAAAUUCAAGUCCUUGGAGGUUCACACUACUCUCGGUUUGGACGUCGUCAAUAUCUGCUUGGUGUCAGGUCUGGUGAUUCCGCAUAAAUUCAAAGUUCCGGACAUUGACAAGUACAAAGGGAUCAGCUGCCCGAGGACUCACCUCAGAGCUUAUUGUCGCAAGAUGGCUGCCCACAUCAAUAAUGAUCAACUCCUGAUUCAUUACUUCAAAGAUAGCCUUAGUGGGGCAUCUUUGGAGUGGUACAUGCAGUUAGAGAGGGGACAGGUCCAGUCAUGGAGAGACCUCGUUGAAGCUUUCCUUAGGCAUUAUCAAUACAAUAUUGAUCUAGCACCCAAUCGCACCCAGCUGCAAGACAUGACUCAACGCAACAAUGAGUCAUUCAAGGAAUACGCACAAUGUUGGAGAGAGCUUGCAGCUCGUGUCCAACCUCCUCUUCUUGAUAAGGAAUUAAUCGAUAUUUUUAUGGGAACUCUGCAUAUCCAAUACAUGGAAAAAAUGGUAGGAUCCAACUUCCCAACUUUUGGCGAGGUUGUCUCUGUGGGAGAACAAAUUGAAAGCCAGAUCAGGAUUGUAGAAGUAAUACCCUCUUGUUUCUUUAGGAUACCCCACAAAUAAGCAUAUGUCAAAUUUGGGUUCAAGCUUAGUUGAAAUUUGUCGUUUCACAUAAACUUCGCAACCCCAAAUCUUCAUAUAAGACAUAUGUGGUUUCUUACCACUCCAUAUCUCAUAUGGUGUCUUCUCAACCUUUUUGGAUGGAACAUGAUUAAGUGUGUAAGUUAUUGUCAAUAGUGCAUGUCCUCAAAAGGAGUUUGGAAGAUCGGCGUGACUCAUCAUGGAUCAGACCAUGUCUAACAAGGUUUGAUUUCUUCUCUCAGAUGCAUCGUUCCAUUGGGGUGUUCUAAGAGGAGUAAGUUGGGAUAGAAUCCCACACUCUUUCAGAUGGUCAUCAAGCUUUAGGCUUAAAUAUUCAUCACCUAGAUUUGAUCGAAGAGUUUUAAUAUUCUUACCCAGUUGGUUUUGUACUUCAUUCUUGAAUUCCUUGAACUUUUCAAAGGACUCUGAUUUGUGUUUCAUUAAAUACACAUAACCAUAUCUACUAAAAUCAUCAGUAAAUGUGAUGAAGUACUGAAAACCUCCUAUUUGUACUUCAUUCUUGAAUUCCUUGAACUUUUCAAAGGACUCUGAUUUGUGUUUCAUUAAAUACACAUAACCAUAUCUACUAAAAUCAUCAGUAAAUGUGAUGAAGUACUGAAAACCUCCUCUGGCAGGUAUGUUCAGCGGUCCAUAUACAUCAGUAUGUAUGAGGGCCAAAAGAUCAUUAGCUCUUUCACCUUUUCCUGUGAAUGAAGACUUUGUCAUCUUUCCAAUUAAAUGAGAUCUACAUGUCUCAUAUGAUUCAUAAUCAAAAGAGUCCAUCUUUAUGGAGUUUGGAAAUGUGUUUCUCGUUUAUGCGACCUAAUCGACAAUGUCAAAGGUAAGUUGGAUUUAACUCAUUAGGUUUCAUCCUUUUAGUAUUAAUGUUAUGAAUAGGCAUUUCAAGAUCAAGGACAUAUAGUCCAUUGUUCAUUUGGACAGUAGCAUAGAAUAUAUCAUUCAAAUAAAUGGAGCAACAAUUGUUCUUUAUUAUGAAUGAAAAACCAAACUUGUCCAAACAAGAAACGGAAAUAAUAUUCCUGCUAAUUGCAGGUAUAUAAUAACAGUUCUCUAACUAAAUUAUUAAACCACUAGGUAAAGUCAAUACAUAAGUUCAUACGGCUAAAGCAGCAACCUUUGCUCCAUUUCCAACUCGUAUGUCAACUUCACCUUUUGCCAAAUCUCUACUCCUUUUUAGCCGCUGCACAUUGGUACAAAUGUGAGAACCACAACCAGUAUCUAAUACUCAUGAUGCAGAAGUAGAUAGAUUAAUUUCAAUAACAAAAAUACCUGAAGUUGAAGUCUCUACUCCAUUCUUCUUAUCUUCCAGAUACUUUGGGCAGUUUCUCUUCCAGUGUCUGGUCUUACCGCAAUGGAAGCAGGUGCAUUUCUUUGCUAUGCCUCCACUAUGAUUCAAAGCAGGAGCAGUUGGUUUGGAUUUGGCAACUUCCUUGCCUUUCCCUUUACCACCCUGCUUGGUGGGUCUUUUGUUCUGUCUCUUUCCGUUUCCGAUCAUCAGAAUGGACUUCCCUUUUGACUUCAUAUUCUGCUCAGCAGUUCUUAACAUGCCUAGCAGUUCAGGAAGAGUUUUGUCCAUAUCAUUCAUGUUGAAAUUAAGGACAAAUUUAUUGAAGCUAUAUGGAAACGAUUGCAAGAUCAAAUCAGUCACAAGUUCCUUUCUGAGGGGAAAACACAACCUCUCAAGGUUCUCCACACACCCAAUCAUCUUGAGCACAUUGGGACCUACAGGGGCUCCCUCGGUUAACUUGCCUUGAAAAAGGGGCUUUUGAAACUUCAAACAUUAAAUGCCUUUCCUACUCUUGAUAGAGCAUCUUGAGGUGUUCGAUCAUAUCGAACGCUGCCAUAUUCUCAUGUUACUUUUGCAACUCUGAGUUCAUGGUAGCUAGCAUGAGGCAAGCAGUUUCAUUGGCAUCAUCGACGUGCUUCUUAUAGGCAUCUCUUUCUGCCUUAGAUGCAAUGCUAGGAUGUUCCUCUUCAGGAACAAGUUUCUCCAAGACAUGCAGCUUUCUAUCAUGCUUGAGGACAAUCCUCAGAUUUCGGUGUCAAUCCAGAAAAUUUAUCCCAGACAAUUUUUACUUAUCAAGGAUUGAUCGCAAAAUAUUGUUAGAGGUGUUUGUUGUCAUGGUAAUCUACAUGAAAAAUAUGAAAAUAUAAGUAUCACUAAAAUAACAUAUUUAAUUAGGCCUUUAAUUAAAUAUGCUCCCACUAUUUUACUCAAAACAAAUGACUCUCACCAUUUGAUUCAGAAAAUCCCGUUGGAAGAUUUUCUAGUGGGUCGAGAUCCACAUUUCACUUUGUUUUAAGUCCGCGUAGGCGGAUUACACAAAACUAGGUUAUUUCGGUAGGAACUCCUUCCAAUUGUAUCUAAUACAACUCAAAUAUUUUAGUUAAGUGAAUAACACCUUAUUCCAAUCCAUCAUAUGGAUCAUUUCCAACUCUUGCUCCUAAACAUAUAUAAUCUUAUUAUAAUUUGUUUAGUUAAGUUUGACACAUUGUUUUAGUAAUUGGAUAUUAUAAUUAUCCCAUCGCACCUUACUCAUAUAGAACAUGCACCUCGCGUGGCAAAACCUACAUUAUUCGAUACUAGUCUUGGUGAGUGCUAAAGCUUGGAAAGCAUAAACUUAAUAUUUAAUUUGAGGGAAUUUGCAAUUAUUUUGAUCUCACUGGCUUAUUUAUCAUAUAAAUCGUCUCUCACAUGCAUCAACAUACAUUCACAUGCAUCAACAUACAUAACUUGGAAAGCAUAAACUUAAUAUUUAAUUUGAGGGAAUUUGCAAUUAUUUUGAUCUCACUGGCUUAUUUAUCAUAUAAAUCGUCUCUCACAUGCAUCAACAUACAUUCACAUGCAUCAACAUACAUACAAAAUGAAACAAUUAUGGCCCCUAGCGCAAUUGUUCUCCCAAGCCAAUGAGAGAACCUAAGCUAACCUAAUAACGAUAUAAGCUUCUCCAAGCAAGAUCUUCAAGGUUUUCCUCCUUUGAUAUUGUAUUCUUCUCUUUCUUCAUAACAUUAUAUUACAUAAAAGAAACUCGUUUUACAUACGAGGCAGUGAGAUGAGAAAAGAAGUUACAUUAAGAGAUUAAAAGAGAGACACGACACGCAGGCCGUAUUUUAAAAUCCCAAAACAAAAAAAGGAAAACUAAGGUCAUAACCGAUCACCAUAAGACAAUAAUAAUAAACAAAUUAUUAUUAUUAAUUUAAAUUCUGUUAAUUAAAUAAACAAAAUUAAAUUUCGGUGAUUGAUCACACUACGCAGAGUUAGCGGGGGGCAGCGCCCCGACACAAAAUUUUAAUGAACAAUUCAUUUGAAAUCGACGUUGUUUUUCGCAUCAACACUUGAUGCUUUAAAGCACAAUUCUUGUGCAUUCACAACCCUAAUCGCAUAACUCUUUGACAGCACAACCCUUGUACCGUCAUGAACCCUAAUGCAGCAACUGCAUACCAUCAAACACACCUCGAUUGAUAAUUUAGUAUGAUUUAUCAACACGUCAUUGCUUCACCAUACUAAUGUCGGAUUCCAAAACAAAUGACCAUUGAUCGCUCAAACGAAUAUCAAUCACUAAGUGUUUGAAUGAACGAAAUAGAAAUAGUAUAUCAUAUAUACCGUAUUUUGCAUCAGAAUUACUUAUAUCAUAUAUAUAUAUAUAACAUGAUCAAUCUCAAUUGUGUAACCUAUGGACGGUCGAUGUAUCGCUGCUUCACCAUACUAACGUCGGAUUCCGAAGCAUAGUCAACAUCAAUCAUCCAAAUUAUACACACAUAAUGCCAAAUUUAAUUACUCAUUUAUUAUUUAAUUCAUUGUGUCUUUUAAUCGUAUUAAUAAAGAAAAUACAGAAAAUAAACAGCUAUCAGAUGCAUGGUUUCGUAACCAGGCUCUGAUACCAUUGAAGGAGAAUGGCGAUCCAAAAUGCAGCGGAAAUUAAAAUUUUCUCCUUUAGUGAUCCUUACGAAUGGGCAUGAUCAGUGAUAGAAAUCGUUACCUCUUGUGGAGAUUGAAACCUUUGAUGCAUAUCUAAGGAGUGAUCACGAACGUUGAAUGGUGACAACGCCUCUACUCAGUCCACACGAACGGAUUCCUUCUGUCUCAGUGCUAGCUGCUACGAAUGAAGGCUUUGAGUGUGUGUGAGAGAGAGAGAGAGAGAAACGAAAUUUCAUCUAAUGAAAUGCUUUUGCACAAGGGUUCUAUUUAUAGAAACACUUGUGUGGGUUGUAAGCUAAAAAACUCACUCAAGUGUAUGGGGCCCACUUAAGCGCGUGGUAGCUUGCCACAUUUCGUAUUCUACUUAAGUGCAUUGUAUCUUAUGAUGUUCCACAAUUCACUUAAGUGCACCGUACCUUACGGUGUUCCUUAUUUACUCUAUCUCUCAGCAAUCUAUCCUUUUGUGUGUGAUCCUGUAUGUUUUCGCGACAUUCACAAUUAUAUUAAAUCACGUAUUUAACAUAAUAAAUAUUGAGCGGUAUCUAGAAACAUAUCACUGCUACCCAAGGCACGAAAAUGUCAUGUGAUCUGACAAAUCCCUUUUUUGUGAUAAUACUUGUGUGUAAAAUUACCAUUUUGCUCUUAUGUCUAUAUCAAACACAAGGCAUAGAUAGUGGCAUCCUUGUCCAGUUCAAUAUUAGUCCCUUAGACAUUUAUCAUGUUACGCAUGAUGGGCAAACUCCAUCUAGGUCACUCAUGUCCCUCAGUAUGCUUCGUGGAGUACCCAUGAACUGUCUUUAUGGUCAUCCAGUUAUGGACAAUAUUUGAUCAGCAGUAAAACACUCGACUUUACAUAUAGGGUCUAUAGUGGUUUCAGGUCGAAGGGUGAUAUACACCACUAUCACCAUGAGAAUAACUUAUGACACUUUGUAUAACAUUCUAUAUAGUAUUCUCAUAGCGGAUCAAUCUAGUAUAAAUAUUACUCCUAAUAUUCAUACCUAUGUUUAAGACUUGAUAACUCCUUAUCCAUGAUCCAUGAGAUAUGAUCAUUAGUCUAUAUACAUAAUAGUCUUAAUGAUUUAAUGUUAUCCCACUUCACAACAAAGCUCGACUACGGAUACUUUAAUAAUAGUGUCCUUAUGUUUAAUGGGAUCUCAUGAUUAAGUCAUACUUGAUACAUUAAACGGGUUAGCUAUUCUAAGGACUUUAUUAAACAAACAUAAUAAAGAAAAAACCCUUUUUAUUAUUAAUAAAUAAUUCAAUACAAGUACCAAAAGUAUUGGCCUCUAGGGCUUACACCAACAGUUGUAGAUGUCAUUACCCAUCCAUCAUGGAUGACCCCAUUUUAAGAAUAUAUUCAGACGAGGUCAAGGAAUUCGUUUUAUCCACAACUCGAGUGGAUUAAUUACCCUAGUUGAAGAGGUCAAGGAAGUUAUAUGGUUAAGAGGUAUGAAUGAUGAGUUAUGAAUAACUCAAUAAUGUAUUAUGAUACAUGUGAUAGUCAAAGUGAAUUUUAUUUACUAAUAAUUAAGUGUAUCAUGAGAGAAAAACCACAUUGACACAUGUUUUCAUUUUAUUAUAGAUAUGAUUGAUUCGAAGGAGAUUGUGUUGGAUAAGGUUUCUUUGGAAAAUAAUUUGACAGAUAUGGUCAUCAAAUCAUUACCUAAGUCAAGAUUCAAGCAUUGAUUAGACUUGAACAAUUAUUUUGAAGAAUGAUUCAAGUUUAAAGAGAGUAUCAAGGUGGUUAAUAGGGAAAUUGACAUCACCAUCAAUUUGAAUUUAAGGUGAAUAUGUGUUGUAUAAUUUGACUUGAAGAGCAUUUAUCUCCUUUUGCCAAUAAUGACAAGAUUCACAACCAAACCUUGAAGGUUUUUCAUCCUCUUUCUUGUCAUUUUUAAAAUAUAUCAUAUACUUCUUCAUAGCUUCCAACUUCUUUCUGAUUCUAACACCUUAGCUUCUAAGUGUAAAAAGACUUUUUCAUGUGAAGCUAAUUUGUUAAAGGCAUUUAAGGCCUCUCUAUGAAGAUCUUCAAAAGCAUUUUGUAAUUGAAAAUAAGAUAAAUCAUUAAUAGAUUCAAUCUUAGAAAGACUUACAUUUUUCUUCUUUUUUCUAUUUUCCAUGAGGCAAAUCUGGGUCGAUUCUACACUUGAAGUAGAUAUUUCAUUACUUGCACUCUCCCAAGCAACAUAGGCUCUUCUAGAUUUUUUAGACUUCUUGUGAUGGCAUUUCUCUUUGUCUUUCUUAAUCUUAGGAUAUUUCGAUCUAUAAUGUCCAAAUUAUCCAUAAUUGUAGCAAGAACUCCUAAGUUUACCUUUCUUAUUCUCAUCUUCCUUUGAGGAUUAAGCCACCCUUCUAAACUUGGUUAGGUUCUUUUCGAAGUGCUUGACUCCAUUAUUCCUUAUAUACCUUUGGUACCUUUUGACAAACAAUCACAUGUCCUCAUCAUCGGAGUUCUUGUCAUCUCUUAUUUUCACAAUCACUUUGCUCAAUAUGUGAAGGCUUUGAGCUUUAAGUCUUUAGAGCAAUAGACUUAUUCUUUUCCACCUUGUAUUUACCUUUCUCUUUCUUUACCUUCAUCUCAUGUUUUUUUCAUGUUUUUCCAAGCAAGAGAGUUAUUGCUCACAUUCUUCCAAUUUUCCAAACAAAGUAGUGAGAUCAAGUACUUUAAGAUCAUUUGCCUCCUUGAUUGCGGUGACUUGGGUUAUCAUUCCCUAUUAAGACACCUCAAAACCUUAUUAGUAGCAAUAUCAUUGGAAAUAGCCUUACCUAGAUCACUCAAGCGGUUAAUAAGAUGUGUGAACCUUUUUUGCAUUUCAACAAUGGUUUCACCAUGCUUCAUACGAAAGAGUUCAAACUCUUGAUUCAAUGUGUUGAUCCUAGAUUUUUUGACCUCAUUAGUUCCCUCAUGGGUAACUUGUAAUGCGUCCCACAUAGCCUUGGCGGUUUCACAAUGGGAAACACUAUAAAAUUCAUCAACAUCGAGUGCUGAUAUGCGAAUGUUUUGUGCUUUCCAAUCGUAAGACCAUAAUUUCUUAUCAUUAUCAUUUCAUUGAUUUUCCGGUUUUGGUACGACGACGCCUUCACCAUUGGUCAUUGUAAUUUAAUUUAGGACCAUUGAUGAUGAUGUCCCAUACACCCUUAUCAACUGAAUUGAUAUAGAUACACAUAUAAGCUUUCCAAUAGCCAUAGUUUUUGCCGGUGAAAAUUGGUGCUCUAUUGUACGCCCUUUUAGGUUCGAUAGCCAUUUUAUAAUAAGCAAAUCUUAAGCAUGGAAUUAACUGGAUCUCGUGAUACCACUUGUUAGACGAUAGGCUUAGAUCUAGAUGAGGGUGAAUAGAUCCCGAGUUAAAAACUUCGACAAAAAUAUGCCUGCAUUGGUUGAUUUUUGCAUGUUAAAAACUUUCCUGAGCUACGGAAUGCACUUCCGUAUUAUGUCUAUAUUGGUUGAUUUUUGCAUGUUUGUCAUAUAGGUUUGCUUUUUUUUGCUUUGUAUUCUUUGUCUAGUUUAACUAUAGGUAAAAUGGUUGACAACUAAGAUUGAUUGAGGCACGAUAGAAUGUCCCAGGAAAUAUAUGUUCGUAAGGAGAGAGCUAGACUCUUGCGACCAUCUGUUGGUGCCAAUUCAUUUAAUACAAAAGUGUCCACUUCUAAAUUUCAAUUGUCUUCGACCUCAUAUUCCUAGAGGCAAGUGUCACUUGUUGCUGCCCCAGAAGUCCCACUAGUCCAUGUUGAUGCACGUGAUGUCGAUGGUGUCAUUCAUGAAGUUGUUCCUGAGGUUUUUAGAGGAGACUCGUAUGACACUUCACUACAUCCUCUACAUGUUACAUAAUGACAUUAGAGAGAGAAAAAAUUAAAAUAACCACUUUUUUCAAAAAAAAUCUAAAAUAAUCAAUAUUUCAAAAAAAAUCCAAAAUAACCACCUUUCAAAAUAGAUGCACUAGAUGAACUGGCGCAUCCAUUUUGAACCAAGAGGAGGCGCCAACACCACUGUCGCAUGCUUUAAAAGCAAUGCAUGGUGGCUCCAAGGGUGUUAGCGCAUACAUGUACUUGCAUGUGCUUGCGCCCAUGCUUCUGGCGCCUACAUGUGUUGAUAUGUGUGGCGCCUAGCCCUUUGGCGCAUGCAUUUUCAUACUUCUUCUAUAAAUACCUCGUCCUUCAACCAUAUUUUUCACACAACUUUUACCCUAUAACCACAUUUUCUUUCAGUCAACUUCAAUCUCCUUCAAGCUUUUGAGUUUUAACCAUGUCUGAAUACAUUCACAAGUGAAAUGUCGAUUUACUCUUUUCCGUCGUUGCGUCUCCGAUAAAGAUUCGACUUUGGAAUAUAGAUUCGUUUGAACGUCUUAAUCGGACAUUGAACAGUUGGUUAGAUGGAGAAAUUGGAGAUGGUGAAAGGAUUAGAAGAAUCCAAUGGCUUGUGUCCACGUUCAACCAAAAUGGAGAAGUGCGUGAAUCAGUGGGUAUUAAGACUGACAGAGAUGUUCAUAGGAUGAUGCAUUACAUGUUCAAAAUUGUUUUGAUGGUUGUAAUCGCUUAGUUAUUGUAAUGGUAUUUUAAUUAUUUUAGUUGUUUGUGUUGUUGUUUAUAUAAUGGUAUUUCCUCACAAACUUAUAAUAUGAAAUAAAAUUAGUUUUUUUAUAUAUUGCAACAGAGGUACAUGUGAAUUUAUCUUGUUGUGCUCGUUCCAACACUAUGACAGUUAGUACGAUUGUGACCUGGCUGACAGCAUGAACUACAUAAUCAAACCAUUUUGUUCGCCAUAUCCAUUUCGGUUCGAAUACUGGUGUUGUUUGACAACCUUCUUCUGCAACAUUUUGUCUUUGAUCUCCCGCAUAAAAUUAUGAGCAAUAUGUCUAAUACAUAAGACAUGCGUCGAAGGAGAAUCCUGUCAGUCAUUAUCAAUGUUAUCAUAUGCACUGAUGAUUGAAGGGUGUCUGUCGGAGAUCAAACAUAAGUUAGGUUGGGGUGCAACGUGCAACCAGAGAUUUCUUAGGAAAAAACUUCAUCCCUCAGCAAUCUCCCCUUCAACAAGGGCAAAGGCGAUUGGAAAAAUAUUGUUAUUAUCAUCUUGUGCCACUGCCAUUAGUAACGUUCCUUUGUAUUUCCCGUACAACCAUGUACCAUCAAUUUGUAUAAUAGGUUUACAAAAAAAAAACCUUUGAUGCAUGGUUGAUACGCCUAGAAGAGACGGUGGAAUUAUUGGGUGCCCCUUUGUGUGAUGACCAAACUGAGGGAGAGUCAUCCGGUCAAGUUAGGGGGAAAGGUAUAAAUUUAAAAUAUCUUAAACAAUAUUAUGAGAAUAUAAUAUUGUCCGAAGAAUCAACCGAGUACAAAAAAAUAGUUAAAGCUCGGUGUUAUAUUAUGAUUUUAUUUGGUAAUUUUUUAUUUCUAGAAAGUACUAGUAAUACAGUAAAUAUUAUGUAUUUAUCGUUAUUACACAACAUUAAUAAGGUAAGCACAUAUAGUUGCGGUUCAGCUGUGCUGGCCCAUCUAUAUAGUGCAAUAUGUAAAAAUUCCAAAAAAAAAUACUUGUACUUUUUAUUCAUGUGCGUAUUUGCUACAAGCAUGGGGUUGGUCAAGAAUGUCGCCAUUCACCCCUGAUAAACGAGAAGCCAUUCAUAUUUCUGUUUGCAACAAAGUAAGUUUAAAACUUUACCAUACAAUUAAUUAUACUUUAUAUUACUAUUAACUGUACAUGAUAUUUAUCAAUUGUCUAUGAUCUAGGUGGUCAGUUAGAGGGAUGAACUACAAUGGAUGUCUGAAACACGUUAUAGUAGUCUAUCGCAAUCUAUUGGAUCACAUUGGACCAGACGAUGUAAUACUCCUACACAACUCUGUUUUAAUUUAAACAUACUUAUCAAAUUAUUUAUCAUCUAAUCGUGUCGUAUUGUUGUACAGUUUAUCUGGAGGUCAUAUAUGGGUCUUAAUCAUCAGGUUAACCAUGAUGAUGCUGCAGUUUGGACAGCAAAGACACCAAUUAUUCGGUUCACUACUGUGGAGAUGCACUAGAGUGAUCGGGUAAAACUGCAGUUCGGCAUGCAACAACAGAUUCCAGAACCUUCGACGUGUUUGGGAGAUUGGCAUCAAAAAAAAGUCGAUACCCAAUGGGAUUAUUCUGACUGGAGAGACUCCGCAAAAGAGAUGUGUCGUCAUUGGAGGAAUCGACGACAACACAUCUUAAACGAACUAGUCAUACAUGGUGCUAGACCAACUCAACAAUAUAUGACAUGGUUUAGGUCAGUAACAACGCAACAAUUUGUGUCUGAACCACGGUAUUUGAUUGAUCCACGCCAACUAGUUUCGUCAUCAUACGCCCAACAACAAGUCCCCGUCCAACACCAAUGUCAAACCACCCAAACCCAACAACCAACCUCACACCAUCAACCUACCACAUACACCCAACAACCAAAUGCCCAACUUCGCAACACAUUCAUGCCACCCACCCAACAACUAAACACCCAACCUCGCAAUCCAUUCAUGCCACCCACCCAACCAUAAAACCAAGAAUCAAACUCUACCUACCAACAACCAUACUUAUCAACCACAACCAUCUAUAGCCCAGAUGAUUCAUAUGGGUCACUUCAUCGUAGCCCCCCACCAAUGACCAUCCAAACAUCCCAUCACCAAAAUACUCAACCAUUGUUUAACUAUAGUACACCCCAAUAAUCAUUUCUUCGUUUCCAAAAUGAUUCAAUGUCCCAAUUCUGGCAACUAUACCGUCCAUAAUUCACCCAACCACAUCGACCCAACUAUGACAACAUGGGCACCGAACUACAUUACGGAAGCGUUGUUGGCCAGAGCCCCCGAGCUAUUGGGAACAAAUGAUGACACGUCUAUCAAAUACUGCUAGCACUUCCGCCGGACCUUCACAACAGUCAUCAUUGGAUCAAGUCAGCACGCAAAGACCCCAAACACCUUAGGAAAAUCGUGGGAGACCUUGAAGACAAACUAACGCACCUGGUGUCAUACCCCAAUUUUGUCCGGGCAUAUUUAAAUUUUCAUAGAAUUGAUUUCAUUUUUAUUUUACAUCAUAUGCAUAGCAUGACAUACGUUCCAUCAUGAACAAUACCUAAAAUAUCAGUCAGAAUAAAUUUAUUGAAAAUACAGACAAAUCGGUUGAAUCAUUCCUCAAGAACAUGCAAAAUCAGCGGGUAAAAAGUUUCAAAUUUAAAAUUACAGACACCAAUACUAUUAAUCUACGGUUCACGUAGUUUAACCUGGUGUGCUCGUUGUAUUUUUCAGCGACUAUUUCGGUCGCAUUUUGAUCCGUCUGAGCCUUUUAACCGGUGCAAAUUUAUUUCAGAAUAUGAAGAAACGCUGUAUUUUUUCAAUAAGUAUAUUUUAUGCUGAUCAUUUUAGUGUGACCAAUUUAAUUUUCCGAGUAAAUUUGUACUCGGUUUCUAUUUCUAAUUGGUCAAUUUUGUUUUGGUUUAGUUAUUAAUUAAAAGUAAUUUAAGUUUAUUUGAAUCAAAUAUUAAAUAAAAAUUUUAGGAGUUUAUUUUCUUAAAGGAAUAAUAAUUUAAUGAAAAAAUAUAUUUGGUACAUUGGAUCCUGCCAACUGGUAUCCACUCACAUGUCUCCUCACGCAGCCACCUAUCACUGUCCUCACGCCUCCCUACUCAGCUACCAACACAUCUCUCUCAAUCACUCAGCUACCAACAGCUCUCUCUCUGUCCACUAUUUCACUCAUCCUUAUCCUCUCUUUCACACGGCACCAAUUCACUCACCACAAACAAAAUUCAUUCACACACACAUUUCUCUGAACCUCUCUUCUCUCUCUACUCUACGAAAAAAAAGAAAAAUAAGAAGAGGAUUUUCCUCUUCAUCUCUUCAUCGCCUCCACCACCCAAAACCACCCUAACAGCCACCAUUCACCGCCGAAAUCCACCGAUUAACCUCCACCCACUAAAACCCCUUCACCAACAACUCCAUCGCUUCACCUUCAAAUCGCUAUCUUCAACCCCUAAAUCAACCCGCCACUCACAAAUCGAAAACCCUCGAGAUUAACCUCCACCCACUAAAACCCCUUCACCAACAACUCCAUCGCUUCACCUUCAAAUCGCUAUCUUCAACCCCUAAAUCAACCCGCCACUCACAAAUCGAAAACCCUCGCCGCUCAAGCCACCAUCGACCAACGACCUUCUGCUCUCUCCGCCGUAGACCGGUCCAUCACCAUUUCUUCAAGAUCCUUCCUAUCACCGGUAAUCGCAGAAUAAAACCCAACGGCGCUUCGGCAUUUAGCUCGGAUCUAGAUUCUCGGUGACUUAAGGAUAUUUGGGAGUAUUUGAUUCGCAACGGUAGCUUGAAGAAGACAGUGUCGCGACUUAUCUUCAAAAAGCUCAAGGUUGGAGUAUGGUUUUUCUGUUGUACGCGAACGAAGCAACACGAAGCAACGCCGAAACCACAAUGGUUUGAGGAUGUUGAAAGGGUUGGUAUUAGCAGUUGAUGCGGUCUGCUAAGGAUGCAGUAACUCGGUGUAAAAGCAACAUCGCUCGCAAGCCAAGGAUGCAACAACAACGGUUCUGUUAUUUGGUAACUCCUUUGUUCAAGAACUCAUCACAUUUUUGAGAUGUUUUUUUUUUAUUUGAAUCAUUUUAUGUUGGAAUACGUUGAUAUUAUGGAUAGACUUUGUGUGAUAUAUACUGCGUUGUUAACAUUGCAACAACCACCUCCAAGAAUUUGGUAAUCUUUAAAUCCUUUGGUUUUGUUUGCAUUAUAAUUGCCAUUGUUGUGCAUUGGGAUUUGCCGUAUCGACUUGUUAACUUCUCGUUAAUAUUCCGGCCUUUCGUAACAUAACCUGUUUUGGUUAAAUUUAUGAUUAAGAAUUGUGAUUCUGCAUAAGCUACAGUCUUGUGCAUCCGAUUGGUUUUGAUAAUAUGUUGUGUAGUUAAGUGUUGAAUAUUUUGACGAAAUUCUGAAAUUUCUGUUCAACUCACUGCAUCCGUCUUGUUUACUCUUUGAUAAAAGUUGAAUAUUUGAUAAAAAUUCUGCUAUGAAUUUAAUACAUUUGGCUAAAAAUUAUGCUAUGAAUUUAACACAUUUGGUUAAAAAUUCUGCUAUAGUAAUAAUACAUAUUUUUAGUUGUUACUAUACUUCAGUUUUAUUUUGAUAUAGCAGGUGAGUUACAUUGCCAUGUUUUAUCUCGUAAGUCCAUUUGGCCUGAGUAUUUGAGUUUUAAUUAUGCACAUGUGAUCGGAAUUUCAAUUUAAGAUCGUGUCUGUUUGCAAAUUCAUUUGUGUUGAAACUUAAACUUUUGAAUUGAUUCCGUAGAUUGUUUUAGUUGCAGUCAUUUGAUUUUGGGGUAUGUCAAUUAAAAAACUAUGGAUUUUAUUUUGGGGUAUGUCAAUUGAAAAACCAGGGAUAUAUGGAAUGGUUACUAUAUUGGAAUUAAAGAUAGUUUCUAGCAUGAUAUAAAUUCCAAGGUUUAAACUUAUUCUUGCAUUAUUCCAACUUUUGAGUCAAUUAGUCUUUCUUCUAGUUAAGGGGAAUAUGGAUAAUAUUAAUUAUAAUAUUAUGAUUAUAUUAAUUAAUAUUGUAGUUAUAUUGUCAAUUAAGGGUUAAAGAGUGUGAUUAUGUUGAUAAAUAAUUGUUAAAAAAAAUUAAUUUUAAUCAACUUUAU
rnacentral:lncRNA from 1 species